GGAUCCUUAGCUCAGCUGGUCAGAGCACUCGGCUCAUAACCGAUUGGUCGUAGGUUCAAAUCCUACAGGAUCCACCA
rnacentral:tRNA from 1 species